GCGCGAAACCUCCGCAAUGUGAGAAAUCGCGACGGGGGGAUCCCAAGUGCCAUUCUUAACGGGAUGGCUUUUCUUUAGUGUAAAAAGCUUUUGGAAUAAGAGCUGGGCAAGACCGGUGCCAGCCGCCGCGGUAACACCGGCAGCUCUAGUGGUAGCAAUUUUUAUUGGGCCUAAAGCGUCCGUAGCCGGUUUAAUAAGUCUCUGGUGAAAUCCUGUAGCUUAACUGUGGGAAUUGCUGGAGAUACUAUUAGACUUGAGACCGGGAGAGGUUAGAGGUACUCCCAGGGUAGAGGUGAAAUUCUGUAAUCCUGGGAGGACCGCCUGUUGCGAAGGCGUCUAACUGGAACGGUUCUGACGGUGAGGGACGAAAGUUAGGGGCGCGAACCGGA
rnacentral:rRNA from 1 species